UACGGAGGAUCCGAGCGUUAUCCGGAUUUAUUGGGUUUAAAGGGUGCGUAGGCGGAAAAUUAAGUCAGUGGUGAAAGUUUGCAGCUCAACUGUAAAAUUGCCAUUGAAACUGCUUUUCUUGAGUGUAAAUGAGGUAGGCGGAAUGUGUUGUGUAGCGGUGAAAUGCUUAGAUAUAACACAGAACACCAAUUGCGAAGGCAGCUUACUGGGAUACAACUGACGCUGAGGCACGAAAGCGUGGGGAUCAAACAGGAUUAGAUACCCUGGUAGUCCACGCAGUAAACGAUGAAUACUAACUGUAUGCGAUAUACUGUAUGCGGUACAGCGAAAGCGUUAAGUAUUCCACCUGGGGAGUACGUUCGCAAGAAUGAA
rnacentral:rRNA from 1 species